AUUGAACGCUGGCGGCAGGCCUAACACAUGCAAGUCGAGCGGAGCGGCGGACGGGUGAGUAAUGCCUACGAAUCUGCCUGGUAGUGGGGGAUAACGUCCGGAAACGGGCGCUAAUACCGCAUACUAUCAGAUGAGCCUAGGUCGGAUUAGCUAGUUGGUGGGGUAAAGGCCUACCAAGGCGACGAGCCGUAACUGGUCUGAGAGGAUGAUCAGUCAUACUGGAACGGAGACCCGGUACAGAGUCCUAGGGGAGGCAGCAGUGGGGAACAGUGGACAAUGGGCGCAAGCCUGAACCAGCCAUGCCGCGUGGGUGAAGAAGGUCUUCGGAUUGUAAAGCACUUUAAGUUGGGAGGCGUUACCAACAGAAGAAGCACCGGCUAACUUCGUGCCAGCAGCCGCGGUAAUAC
rnacentral:rRNA from 1 species